CAAGACUCGAGACAGACGACAAUGGAAACUGGCCUGGGUUUUGGGCCCAUUUCGCAUCAUUGGCAGUUGGAGCGACACAUUUUCUUUGUGUGCGGUUUUGGUUGUUGUUUGUUGACUGGGCGAAAUUAAUUAAUGGUGAAUGGCAAAUUUGCAGCUAAUAGGAGGAAAACUUGAAUCGUUUUCUGGUCUGUCGCUGUGACAACUAACUUGUCGUGCACUGAACAGAAAAGAGCUUAACUAAGGUCAUAAAGUCUUGAGCAAUUCCUUUAACACUGUGAUGCAUAUGGAAUGGAUACGUGCAUAUGUGAGAUAUUUUUCUGGAUUUGUGAACCGUUCAUUUUCUAUACCGUUUCGAGUUUUAACUCGCCUUUGAUUAAAACUUCAGGCCCGGUUCGAAGUUUUUCCUUGUCGCUGGAAAAUUUCCUAAAUGACAACUUCCGCCUUCGAGAUAAGUUAAUUAAUUUUCAUGGACAUGGCUGGCUGAAAACUUUUCCCCUUCCGCGACACUCAAAUUUAAGAACAUUUUUCGUUGCGUACAGAUUGAAUUUUCAGCGAAACUUGUGUAAAGUCAACUGGGACCGAGAGUGAGAGGCCGGGUCUUUUGUAAAUAUUGAUUACUUGAUAAGGCGCAGAAUCCUUUAAUGCUGCGUACCGUUGACCAUGGCUAACAACGGAAACGAGUUGGGAUGGACCAAAGUUUGCCGGGGGGUGCGGAGUUGUGGGGCUUUGGAAACAAGACCAAAAAGGCGAAAUACCUUCAUUAAGCGAAUGAAGAAAAGCAAAAGAACCCUUUAUCUAAUGCCACAAAAUGGGGGAUGCCGCUGGUUGCGGCUGACGUUUCGUGUGUAUACAAAAACACCGUAAGCCGAAAGCAAGACAUUUUAAAUGUUUAUUAAAACAAUAAGGAAAUGGUUUGUGCCGAAAACGGAAAAAGGCCAGGCGGAAAAGGAAAAACUGUUGCGAAAGAAGGUGAAAAAAGGCCAGCUCGACACACACAAAAGGGGGAUAAUCCCACGCCCGCACAUAGACGACACCCUUGCCACAUGGACACAUUCAGGAAAAAUAAGAGGGUUCUGGCUUUUCUUACGGCGACCGUUUUGUCUUAAAAAAGGUAGCAGACGUCCAGUA